CUCAGGAUGAACGCUGGCGGCGUGCCUAAUACAUGCAAGUCGAACGCACAGCGAAAGGUGCUUGCACUUUCAAGUGAGUGGCGAACGGGUGAGUACACGUGGAUAACCUACCUCAAGGUUGGGGAUAACAUUUGGAAACAGAUGCUAAUACCGAAUAAAACUUCGUAUCGCAUGAUACAAGGUUAAAAGGCGCUACGGCGUCACCUAGAGAUGGAUCCGCGGUGCAUUAGUUAGUUGGUGGGUAAAGGCCUACCAAGACAAUGAUGCAUAGCCGAGUUGAGAGACUGAUCGGCCACAUUGGGACUGAGACACGGCCCAAACUCCUACGGGAGGCUGCAGUAGGGAAUCUUCCACAAUGGGCGAAAGCCUGAUGGAGCAACGCCGCGUGUGUGAUGAAGGCUUUCGGGUCGUAAAGCACUGUUGUAUGGGAAGAACAGCUAGAGUAGGGAAUGACUUUAGUUUGACGGUACCAUACCAGAAAGGGACGGCUAAAUACGUG
rnacentral:rRNA from 1 species